AUUGAACGCUGGCGGCAGGCCUAACACAUGCAAGUCGAACGGUAACAGGAAGCAGCUUGCUGCUUCGCUGACGAGUGGCGGACGGGUGAGUAAUGUCUGGGUAGCUGCCUGAUGGAGGGGGAUAACUACUGGAAACGGUAGCUAAUACCGCAUAAUGUCGCAAGACCAAAGAGGGGGACCUUCGGGCCUCUUGCCAUCGGAUGUGCCCAGAUGGGAUUAGCUUGUUGGUGGGGUAACGGCUCACCAAGGCGACGAUCCCUAGCUGGUCUGAGAGGAUGACCAGCCACACUGGAACUGAGACACGGUCCAGACUCCUACGGGAGGCAGCAGUGGGGAAUAUUGCACAAUGGGCGCAAGCCUGAUGCAGCCAUGCCGCGUGUAUGAAGAAGGCCUUCGGGUUGUAAAGUACUUUCAGCGGGGAGGAAGGGAGUAAAGUUAAUACCUUUGCUCAUUGACGUUACCCGCAGAAGAAGCACCGGCUAACUCCGUG
rnacentral:rRNA from 1 species